AGAAUAGUUGCAAAAAUUCAUUGAGGCAAUGCUAUGUCCCAGGAGUUAGAUUUGGUCCAGAACCAAUUACAACAUGAAGAUCUUUUAUGUGCUUUUCUCAUUCCUUUUCCUUGCAUUCCUUCUUGAACCAGUGAGUGCCAGAAAAAUUUGUUAUGAGCGAGGUGGAAACUGCUUUGAACCUCCCUGUCCUGUCCAUUCCUACUUUAUUGGAAAAUGGGAUUGUAUGGAAAAGUUUUGCUGUAAAUGGCAGUACAGCAAUGUGUGCUAUAUUGAAGAAGGAUCCUGCUUUUAUCAUGUCUGUCCUCAUGACUACUACUCCAUUGGACAAAUGGAUUGUGCUCGUGAUCAAAUGUGUUGUAGACAGGAAAAAAUCAAAACAACUGCACAGCCAACCAGUGACAGCACAGACCCUCAACCAACCAAUGCAAGCCUCCCCACCAGCAGUUCACCUACCAAUGAAACUAAUGUAACCUCCCCAUCACAAGAUCCAUCACAAGCCUUUCACUGAUGACUUACACUUGACCCAUCACAAGACUCUCACUUGACACACCCACACCUGAAACACUUAUAAACAGAAGACCAUUGACACUGACAUCCCCUAAAUUCUGCUGAAGAUGUUACCUAGCUUGGUAAUGAAACAUUUGGAAACCAACCCACAAGUUUGGAGAACAAACCUUCACUCUCACAGAAAGAAAACCCUUCCCUAAUAGAGAUGCUGCAGAUAUAAAAUGGGAUAAUUUGCCUGAAUUAACAAAACAUUGCAAGGCAAUGACUUGAAAAGGAAAAGUCUUUACAGGGAAAAUCUAUGUAGAAAGAUGUUUUGGAAAGAAUAGGUUUUGCGGUUCAGGGUACAGAAUAAACACUGAACACACAUUGAUCAACCUAUUAUUUUAUAUCAUUAGGCAACCAAUAAAAUGAGACCAUUUCCAUUUGCUAGCCUGGAUAUCUUCAAGAUAUGGCUAAUGACCUGACAUCACCACCUACUAUCACUUUAUCUUUCUUUGUAUAAAUCAAAAUUGCUAUCUAUCAGACUCUUAACAUUUAUGCAUUGAAGUAAAAUUUGGCAUUUUUUCCUUGAAAUACAGCUAAAUGAGCAUGCA